rnacentral:rRNA from 1 species
AGCGAGCGCUGGCGGCAGGCCUAACACAUGCAAGUCGAACGAACUCUUCGGAGUUAGUGGCGGACGGGUGAGUAACACGUGGGAACGUGCCUUUUGGUUCGGAAUAACUCAGGGAAACUUGUGCUAAUACCGAAUGUGCCCUUCGGGGGAAAGAUUUAUCGCCAUUAGAGCGGCCCGCGUCUGAUUAGCUAGUUGGUGAGGUAACGGCUCACCAAGGCGACGAUCAGUAGCUGGUCUGAGAGGAUGACCAGCCACACUGGGACUGAGACACGGCCCAGACUCCUACGGGAGGCAGCAGUGGGGAAUCUUGCGCAAUGGGCGAAAGCCUGACGCAGCCAUGCCGCGUGAAUGAUGAAGGUCUUAGGAUUGUAAAAUUCUUUCACCGGGGACGAUAAUGACGGUACCCGGAGAAGAAGCCCCGGCUAACUUCGU